AUGUGCACAGCUGGCGCCCCCCGCCCGCGGCGCACAGCUGGGACGUGGGCCGCGCCUGGGCGGCGGGCGGGCGCAGUCCGGAGCCGGCGGUGGACGCGCCGGGCCUUCGCUGUCGGUCCGCGCGCCCGAGCGCCCCGCGCGCCGUGGGUCAUGGCCGUGCGCGCCGCGCGCCCCUGCCUGCUGGCACUCGCUCUGUGCUCGUGCUGGGGGGCGCUGGCCGAGGUCGCCCCCAGGCCGAGCAACGGGUGUCCCAGCCGCUGCCUGUGCUUCCGCACCACGGUGCGCUGCAUGCAUCUGCUGCUGGAGGCCGUGCCCGCCGUGGCGCCGCAGACCUCUAUCCUGGAUCUUCGCUUUAACAGAAUCAGAGAGAUCCAGCCAGGGGCCUUCAAGGGGCUGAGAAACCUGAACACAUUGCUUCUCAACAAUAAUCAGAUCAAGAGCAUCCCUGGCGGGUCGUUCGAAGACUUGGAGAGUCUGAAAUACCUCUAUCUGUACAAGAAUGAGAUCCAGGCGAUUGACCGGCAGGCCUUCAAGGGGCUUGCCUCUCUUGAGCAACUAUACCUGCACUUCAAUCAGAUAGAAACUUUGGACCCGGAGUCAUUUCAGCAUCUGCCGAAGCUGGAGAGGCUGUUUUUACAUAACAACCGAAUUACACAUUUGGUUCCGGGGACGUUCAAUCACUUGGAGUCUAUGAAAAGAUUGCGCCUGGACUCCAACGCACUUCACUGUGACUGUGAGAUCCUGUGGCUGGCAGACCUGCUGAAGGGCUACGCGCGGUCAGGAAACGCGCAGGCCGCGGCCACCUGUGAGUAUCCCCGGCGCAUCCAGGGCCGGUCGGUGGCCACCAUCACCCCGGAGGAGCUGGACUGUGAAAGGCCGCGGAUCACGUCAGAGCCGCAGGAUGCCGACGUCACCCUGGGCAACACCGUCUUCUUCACCUGCAGGGCUGAGGGCAACCCCAAGCCCGAGAUCAUCUGGCUGCGGAACAACAACGAGCUGAGCAUGAAGACGGAUUCUCGCUUGAACUUGCUGGAUGACGGGACCCUCAUGAUCCAAAACACGCGGGAGACAGACCAGGGCAUCUAUCAGUGCAUGGCGAAGAAUGUGGCUGGGGAGGUGAAGACACAGGAGGUGACCCUCAGGUACUUCCGGUCUCCAGCUCGCCCGGCGUUUGUAAUCCAGCCCCAGAACACAGAAGUGCUGGUCGGGGAGGGUGUGACCUUGGAGUGCAGCGCCACGGGCCACCCCCCGCCGCAGAUCACCUGGACCAGGGGCGACCGCAGCCCCGUGCCCACAGACCCUCGGGUGAGCAUCACCCCGUCCGGCGGCCUCUAUAUCCAGAACGUGGAGCAGGAGGACAGCGGGGAGUACACCUGCUUUGCCUCCAACACCGUGGACAGCAUCCACGCCACGGCCUUCAUCAUCGUCCAAGCGCUUCCUCAGUUCACCGUGACGCCCCAGGACAGGGCUGUCAUCGAGGGCCAGACGGUUGAGUUCCACUGCGAGGCAAAGGGCUACCCGCAGCCUGUCAUCGCCUGGACCAAAGGAGGGAGCCAGCUGUCAGUGGACAGGCGCCACCUGGUCCUGUCGUCGGGGACGCUGAGGAUCUUGGCCGUCGCCCUGCAUGACCAGGGCCAGUACGAGUGCCAGGCUGUGAACAUCAUCGGCUCCCAAAGGGUCGCCGCACACCUGACCAUCCAGCCCCGAGUCACCCCGGUGUUCACCAGCGUCCCCAGGGACAUGACGGUGGAGGUGGGCAGCAACGUGCAGCUGCCCUGCCGCCCCCAGGGCGAGCCGGAGCCCGCUGUCACCUGGAACAAGGAUGGGGUUCAGGUGACAGAAAGCGGGAAAUUUCACAUCAGCCCCGAGGGGUUCCUGACCAUCCGCGACGUUGGGACCGCAGAUGCUGGCCGCUACGAGUGUGUGGCCCGGAACACGAUCGGGCAGGCGUCGGUCAGCAUGGUGCUCAGCGUGAACGUUCCUGAUGUCAGCCGGAACGGGGACCCGUUUGUGGCCACGUCCAUCGUCGAGGCCAUCGCAACCGUGGACAGGGCCAUCAACUCCACGCGGACGCACCUGUUUGACAGCCGCCCUCGCUCCCCGAACGACCUGCUGGCCCUGUUCCGGUACCCGCGGGACCCCUACACGGUGGAGCAGGCCCGGGCCGGGGAGAUUUUCGAGCGGACGCUGCAGCUGAUCCAGGAGCACGUGCGGCACGGCCUGAUGGUGGACCUCAACGGAACCAGUUACCACUACAACGACCUCGUGUCCCCGCAGUACCUGAGCCUGAUCGCCAACCUGUCGGGCUGCACGGCCCACCGGCGCGUCAACAACUGCUCGGACAUGUGUUUCCACCAGAAGUACCGCACGCACGACGGCACGUGCAACAACCUGCAGCACCCCAUGUGGGGCGCCUCGCUCACCGCCUUCGAGCGCCUGCUCAAGGCCGUGUACGAGAACGGCUUCAACACGCCGCGCGGCAUCGACCCGGGCCGGCGCUACCACGGGCACCCGCUGCCCAUGCCCCGCCUGGUGUCCACGGCCCUCAUCGGGUCGGAGGCCGUCACCCCGGACGAGCAGUUCACGCACAUGCUCAUGCAGUGGGGCCAGUUCCUGGACCACGACCUGGACUCCACGGUGGUGGCCCUGAGCCAGGCCCGCUUCUCCGACGGGCAGCACUGCAGCUCGGCCUGCAGCAACGACCCGCCCUGCUUCUCGGUGGCCCUGCCGCCCGACGACCCGCGGGCGCGCAGCGGGGCGCGCUGCAUGUUCUUCGUGCGCUCCAGCCCCGUGUGCGGCAGCGGCAUGACGUCACUGCUCAUGAACUCCGUGUACCCCCGCGAGCAGAUCAACCAGCUCACGUCCUACAUCGACGCCUCCAACGUGUACGGCAGCUCCGAGCACGAGGCCCGCGCGGUCCGCGACCUGGCCAGCCAGCGCGGGCUGCUGCGCCAGGGCAUCGUGCAGCGCUCCGGCAAGCCGCUGCUGCCCUUCGCCGCCGGGCCGCCCACCGAGUGCAUGCGGGACGAGAACGAGAGCCCCAUCCCCUGCUUCCUGGCCGGCGACCACCGCGCCAACGAGCAGCUGGGCCUCACCAGCAUGCACACGCUCUGGUUCCGCGAGCACAACCGCGUGGCCGCCGAGCUGCUGGCGCUGAACCCGCACUGGGACGGCGACACGGUCUACCACGAGGCCCGCAAGCUGGUGGGCGCCCAGGUGCAGCACAUCACCUUCCAGCACUGGCUGCCCAAGGUGCUGGGCGAGGCCGGCAUGAAGAUGCUGGGCGAGUACCGCGGCUACGACCCGGGCGUCAACGCCGGCAUCGUCAACGCCUUCGCCACGGCUGCCUUCCGCUUCGGCCACACGCUCGUCAACCCCGUGCUGCAGCGGCUGGACGAGGACUUCCGGCCGCUGGCGCUGGGCCACGUGCCGCUGCACAAGGCCUUUUUCUCCCCGUUCCGCAUCGUCAACGAGGGCGGCAUCGACCCGCUGCUCCGCGGCCUGUUCGGCGUGCCCGGCAAAAUGCGCGUGCCAUCGCAGCUGCUCAACACGGAGCUCACCGAGCGGCUCUUCUCCAUGGCGCACACAGUGGCGCUGGACCUGGCCGCCAUCAACAUCCAGCGCGGCCGCGACCACGGCAUCCCGCCCUACCACGAGUACCGCGUCUACUGCAACCUGUCGGCCGCCCACACCUUCGAGGACCUGAGGAACGAGAUCAAGAGCCCCGAGAUCCGGGAGAAGCUGCAGCGGCUGUACGGCUCCCCACUCAACAUCGACCUGUUCCCGGCCCUCAUGGUGGAGGACCUGGUGCCCGGCAGCCGCCUGGGACCCACCUUGAUGUGUCUGCUCAGCACGCAGUUCAGGCGCCUUCGGGACGGGGACAGGCUGUGGUACGAGAACCCGGGGGUCUUCACUCCUGCCCAGCUCACCCAGAUCAAGCAGAGCUCCCUGGCCCGCAUCGUGUGCGACAACGCCGACAACAUCACGCGUGUGCAGAGAGACGUGUUCCGCGUGGCCGAGUUCCCGCACGGCUACAGCAGCUGCGACGAGAUCCCCCGCGUGGACCUCCGAGUGUGGCAGGACUGCUGUGAAGACUGCAGAACCCGGGGCCAGUUCAACGCCUUCUCCUACCACUUCCGAGGCAGGCGGUCUCUUGAGUUCAGCUACCAGGAGGAUGAGCCAGCCAGGGAGACAGGGCCCGGGAAGGCGCCAAGAGCCAGGAAGCUCCGGGCACCUCCCAGUAACGCCACCCCUCCUUGGAGCAGCCGCGGGGCAGGGACAAGCGACUUCCGGGAGUUUGUCCUGGAGAUGCAGAAGACCAUCACGGACCUCAGGAAGCAGAUAAAGAAACUGGAGUCUCGGCUCAGCACAGACUGCGUGGACGCAGACGGCAGCUCGCACGCAGACGGGGCUGAGUGGACGCGGGAUCCGUGCACCACUUGUGAAUGCCGCGAUGGGCAGGUCACCUGCUUCGUGGAGACUUGUCAGCCGGCUGACUGCCCAGCGCCCGCCAGGGUCGGCGGGGCCUGCUGUCCCAUGUGCCCAGGAGACUCCACGGGGACGCAGCCCUGAGCGUCUGCGAGCCUGGAACUUGUCCCGGCCCCCGGGAGCGAGGCCGCACAGGCGGCGAGGCUGGGGUACGGGGACCACGGCUCGGGGAACCCCGGCCUGAGCGCUCGCCAGCAGACCACGGGGCAGACAUGUGUCCUGACUCCAUGUUGAGCUUUCUCAGGUUCCUAUUUAAUUUUUUUAAAUGAAAAAUUGGUGCUACUAUUAAAUUGCACAGUUCAAUCAUUUAGGCUCCUAAUUGAUUUCACCUAGUAUCACCGUUUCUUCUCAACUGAAAGUUAGUCCCGCUGGUCCCGGCGCCAGGAGCGUGCAGAGCGGAGCUGGCGGAGGAGGGACGCAGGAUUUGAAAGAGAAUCCGUCCCUGGCAAACAGCAGUCUGCACGGACGUGUGGCGGCAGCGCGGGCGGCCAGCACAAGCCCCCCGCGCCCCUGCCCCCAGCCCCUGCAGCUCCGCGGCCCCGCUGGAGAAGCUGCUGCACUCCCCUGUGACCGGCACACACGCCGCCGGGUGUGGGCCAGGCAGGGCGGCACCUGUCCCCACCAGCAUCACCCACGGCCUCCCGGCUUCGCCCGCCAGCGCCCACGGAUGAGCCACCACGCUCUCCAUCCCUGUUCCAAGGACGGGAGGAACGCGAGUGUCGGGGACUUUCUGACUUCAGGUUAUGAGAGUGCGUUCAAGAAAAGCAGCCGGUCCCUAUACCUCAUUCGUAUGCCCGCCGCGUGUGAUGUUGGAUAAAAUCUCACCCAUGUUUUAGCUUAGACACGGCAGAAACAGCACGUCCGCGCCGCUCAAGUUCUCGUGGAUUCAGUGAGAAACAACUUUCAUACCUCACAGCCCCCGUCUUCUUACUCGACCAGAACCUCCUGUUUGGUUCCAAAUGCAAAGUGGUCUGUGUUCUGAGAAACAGGUCCCUGGGUCUCCCGCUCGGUUCUCAGACCUGAGUGUCCAGCGCCGGCCACACGGUGCCCGCCCACGCUUCCUACUGGAG
rnacentral:lncRNA from 1 species